rnacentral:lncRNA from 1 species
GCGGCUGCCGGGGCGAGCGGGAAGGUGUGUCUCGGAGUAAUUCAAAGUUGUAUGUUCUAAAAGAGAAGAACGGUGGGGAUAAUAGGUCGCAUUCCUCUCUGAAAGAAUUAAAGACAUCGAUCUCCUGAUUAAAGGGGUUUACUGAAGGCCCAACAUAAAAGAUCCAGAGCAAAAGCACAUCAUUGUGAAAUUUAGAGCUCAAUCAAAUUAUAAAAGCAUCUGAAAAUAGGUCACAAAAAAGGAUUUGGAAAGAACGGGAAUGUAUCUUUCUAAAACAUAAAGGAAGCAGAAGAGAAGUGCCUUCA